rnacentral:rRNA from 1 species
CCUACGGGAGGCAGCAGUGGGGAAUCUUGCGCAAUGGGCGAAAGCCUGACGCAGCCAUGCCGCGUGAAUGAUGAAGGUCUUAGGAUUGUAAAAUUCUUUCACCGGGGACGAUAAUGACGGUACCCGGAGAAGAAGCCCCGGCUAACUUCGUGCCAGCAGCCGCGGUAAUACGAAGGGGGCUAGCGUUGCUCGGAAUUACUGGGCGUAAAGGGAGCGUAGGCGGAUAGUUUAGUCAGAGGUGAAAGCCCAGGGCUCAACCUUGGAAUUGCCUUUGAUACUGGCUAUCUUGAGUGUGGGAGAGGUAUGUGGAACUCCGAGUGUAGAGGUGAAAUUCGUAGAUAUUCGGAAGAACACCAGUGGCGAAGGCGACAUACUGGCCCAUUACUGACGCUGAGGCUCGAAAGCGUGGGGAGCAAACAGGAUUAGAUACCCUGGUAGUCCACGCUGUAAACGAUGAGUGCUAGUUGUCGGCAUGCAUGCAUGUCGGUGACGCAGCUAACGCAUUAAGCACUCCGCCUGGGGAGUACGGUCGCAAGGAUUAAAACGUUCAAAUGAAAUUGACGG